rnacentral:rRNA from 1 species
GUCCAGCCUGCCCUGUGACUAUAUGUUUAACGGCCGCGGUAUUUUAACCGUGCGAAGGUAGCGCAAUCACUUGUCUUUUAAAUGGAGACCUGUAUGAAUGGCAUAACGAGGGCUUAACUGUCUCCUUUUUCAAGUCAAUGAAAUUGAUCUCCCCGUGCAGAAGCGGGGAUAAACUCAUAAGACGAGAAGACCCUAUGGAGCUUUAGACACUAAGGCAUAUCAUGCUAAACACCCCUACACAAAGGACUAAGCCAAAUGAUUUAUGCCCCUAUGUCUUUGGUUGGGGCGACCGCGGGGAAAUAAAAAACCCCCACGUGGAGUGGGAGCACUGACUCCUACAACCUAGAGCUGCAGCUCUAAUUAACAGAAUUUCUGACCAAUAAGAUCCGGCAACGCCGAUCAACGGACCGAGUUACCCUAGGGAUAACAGCGCAAUCCCCUUUUAGAGCCCAUAUCGACAAGGGGGUUUACGACCUCGAUGUUGGAUCAGGACAUCCUAAUGGUGCAGCCGCUAUUAAGGGUUCGUUUGUUCAACGAUUAAAGUCCUACGUGAUCUGAGUUCAGACCGGA